rnacentral:rRNA from 1 species
UACGAAGGGGGCUAGCGUUGCUCGGAAUUACUGGGCGUAAAGGGAGCGUAGGCGGACAUUUAAGUCAGGGGUGAAAUCCCGGGGCUCAACCUCGGAAUUGCCUUUGAUACUGGGUGUCUUGAGUAUGAGAGAGGUAUGUGGAACUCCGAGUGUAGAGGUGAAAUUCGUAGAUAUUCGGAAGAACGCCAGUGGCGAAGGCGACAUACUGGCUCAUUACUGACGCUGAGGCUCGAAAGCGUGGGGAGCAAACAGG